GAUGAACGCUGGCGGCGUGCCUAAUACAUGCAAGUCGAGCGAACGGACGAGAAGCUUGUUUCUCUGAUGUUAGCGGCGGACGGGUGAGUAACACGUGGAUAACCUACCUAUAAGACUGGGAUAACUUCGGGAAACCGGAGCUAAUACCGGAUAAUAUUUUGAACCGCAUGGUUCAAAAGUGAAAGACGGUCUUGCUGUCACUUAUAGAUGGAUCCGCGCUGCAUUAGCUAGUUGGUAAGGUAACGGCUUAUCAAGGCAACGAUGCAUAGCCGACCUGAGAGAGUGAUCGGCGACACUGGAACGGAAACACGGACCAGACUCCUACGGUAGGCAGCAGUAGCGAAUCGGCCGCAGUGGUCGAAAGCCUGACGGAGUAGGGCCACGUGAGAGAUGGAGGUCUUCGGAUCGUAAAACUCUGUUAUUAGGUAAAAACAUAUGUGUAAGGAACUGUGCACAGCGUGACGGUAACGAAUCAGAAAGCAACGGCUAACUACGUG
rnacentral:rRNA from 1 species